CAGGCCUAUUCUGAACUGCAGAUGCUGUC
rnacentral:piRNA from 1 species